ACAGCUAUAUCACGUUGAAACACCGGUUCUCGUACGACCACCGAAGUUAAGCAUCGUCGAGCACUGUCAGUACCUAUAUGGGUGACCGCUUGAGAAUACCAGGUGCUAUA